rnacentral:lncRNA from 1 species
UCUCCCCAAGCACUUUAAUCCCUACUCUGUUCCUCUUUCUAUGGUGUGAGAGCUACAUCUCUCAGCACGUCCAGAGAACCUUCUUGCCCUUUCUUCAGCACAAUCAACAUGGAAGAAAGCAAUACAAAUUUUAGACAAAUUUGGGCAGCAACCCACACAGCUAGCAAAACGACAUGGGAACAAUAAGAAACUAUUUAAACAGUCACUAGGAAGUUAAAACAAAUUAAAUUAAACUUUAAAGGGGGGGGGGGGGGGGGGAAGAAGGGAGAGGGAAAAAGCAACAACAACAACAAAACACAACUAAAAGAAACAAACAAAAACCAACCCAAGAGCUAAAUAAAGCAUGGAGAAAGAAGGAAGGAAGCCAACAUUUGGGAAGCAUAUUAAGUUAGCUUGUUUGGGUGAGGCUGCACGGCAACAGACUCAGCUUUGCUCCUGAGUUCUGUGAAAAACAGGAUUGUAACAACCACAUACCUGCCAAGUCCUGCACAGAUAACAGAUGUUAGGGACACUCCUUUACUCAAAGUGGAGCCAAGAUCCAAGAUCUGUUGAAAGAAGGAAGAGAAAGAACCACUUCAGUCUGAAUUGUGCAAGGAAGAGGACAAGGAGUUUAAAAAGGGGCCCCAAGGAGAGAAAGGGGUUUAAGGAGAAGGGAAGAGCUAAACAAGAGCACACUCAAGUGAAAACCUGGAAAUUUAACCAGAAUUUUUGUGUCUCUGUAAAGCAGUUGAUAAGAUUUUUCCACUGACCUUAGACAGUGAGUGUCACAGUCACGUUACUGAAAAAUCUCACGGGAUCUCUUGAUCAUUUCUAAUCAAGGUAAAAGUGCAAGUUUAACUUCUUACCAGCAGUAAGAGGAAAGGAAAGGAAAGGAAAGGAAAGGAAAGGAAAGGAAAGGAAAGGAAAGGAAAGGAAAGGAAAGGAAAGGAAAGGAAAGGAAAGGA